AACGAACGCUGGCGGCAGGCUUAACACAUGCAAGUCGAGCGCCCCGCAAGGGGAGCGGCAGACGGGUGAGUAACGCGUGGGAACGUACCUUUUGGUUCGGAACAACUCCGGGAAACUGGAGCUAAUACCGGAUAAGCCCUAACGGGGAAAGAUUUAUCGCCGAAAGAUCGGCCCGCGUCUGAUUAGCUGGUUGGUGAGGUAACGGCUCACCAAGGCGACGAUCAGUAGCUGGUCUGAGAGGAUGAUCAGCCACACUGGGACUGAGACACGGCCCAGACUCCUACGGGAGGCAGCAGUGGGGAAUAUUGGACAAUGGGCGCAAGCCUGAUCCAGCCAUGCCGCGUGAGUGAUGAAGGCCUUAGGGUUGUAAAGCUCUUUUGUCCGGGAAGAUAAUGACUGUACCGGAAGAAUAAGCCCCGGCUAACUUCGUG
rnacentral:rRNA from 1 species